CAACUUUCAACAACGGAUCUCUUGGUUCUGGCAUCGAUGAAGAACGCAGCGAAAUGCGAUAAGUAGUGUGAAUUGCAGAAUUCAGUGAAUCAUCGAAUCUUUGAACGCACAUUGCGCCCUUUGGUAUUCCAAAGGGCAUGUCUGUUCGAGCGUCAUU
rnacentral:rRNA from 1 species